rnacentral:misc_RNA from 1 species
GCGAUUUAGGGAAUGUCUCAAGGGUGAAAUUGGUAUCUUCUUCCCCUUAAUUGUUCUACGUCCACUGGAUGGCACAGACCUGAAUGCAAAAACAAGUGUUCCACGGAUGCUAGAGAAAGUUUGCAAGAAUUCCCAGAUGCUUGUUGACCUUUAUGUGAACUAUGAUUGUGAUCUUCAAGCACCUAACUUAUUUGAGCGAAUGGUUACCACAUUAUCCAAAAUUGCACAAGGAAUGCAAAGUGCUGAGCCAAAUUCAGUUGCGACAUCCCAGAUAGCGUCAAUCAAAGCGUCCUCUCUUCAGUGUCUUGUAAAUGUGCUAAAAUCUCUUGUCGAAUGGGAGAAGCGCUGGUCAGAGUUGGAAAGGCUGAGCAACAGGAAUCAGUCUUCUGAAGAUGAAACUUUUAAGGGAGACUCUGAUAAGAUGAGAGACGUGGAUGAUUCAGCCAGUAAUUUUGAGAAACUGAAAGCCCACAAAUCUACUGUUGAAGCAGCUAUUUCUGAAUUCAAUCGAAAACCUACAAAGGGAAUUGAACAUCUAAUAUCAAAUGGGCUGGUUGAGAACUCACCAACUUCGGUUGCUCAAUUUCUCAAAAGUUCUCCUAGUUUGGACAAGGCUAUGAUUGGUGACUACUUGGGUCAGCACGAGGAGUUUCCUGUGGCUGUCAUGCAUGCUUAUGUUGACUCUAUGAAUUUUUCUGGAAUGAAAUUUGAUUUGGCAAUUCGUGAAUUUCUUAAAGGGUUCCGGCUUCCCGGGGAAGCUCAGAAGAUAGAUCGUAUUAUGGAAAAGUUUGCAGAGCGUUACUGUGCGGACAAUCCCGGCUUAUUCAAGAAUGCAGACAUAGCAUAUAUUCUAGCAUAUGCAGUUAUAAUGCUGAAUACAGAUGCUCACAACCCAUUGGUCUGGCCAAAAAUGUCGAAGGAUGAUUUUAUACGUAUAAAUGCCACUGAUGAAGCAGAAGAUUGUGCUCCAAAGGAAUUGCUGGGGGAGAUCUAUGAUUCAAUUGUUCAAGAGGAGAUAAAGAUGAAAGAUGAUCCUGUUGGCCUAGCAAAAAGUAGCAAGCAGAAGCCUGAAGCUGAGGAGAGAGGACGUCUUGUCAAUAUCCUCAACCUUGCACAGCCUAGAAGGAGAUCUUCAGUUGACCCAAAAUCCGAGAGUGAAGCUAUCAUCAAGCAGACACAGGCUAUUUUCCGAAAUCAAGGAGGAAAAAGAGGAGUCUUUUAUACUUCACACAAUACCAAACUUGUACGUCCAAUGAUUGAAGCUCUAGGAUGGCCACUGCUUGCCACUUUAGCUGUUCUUAUGGAGGAAGGAGAUAACAAAGCACGGGUUAGCGUGUGCAUGGAAGGAUUUAAAGCUGGAAUACACAUCACACAUGUUCUCGGGAUGGACACCAUGCGAUAUGCAUUUUUGACAACUCUUCUUAGACUUAAUCUUUUACAUGUACCAAGGGAUAUGAAAAGUAAAAAUGUGGAAGCACUACGGACCCUUCUGGCUAUAUGUGAUUCAGAUGCUGAAGCUUUGCAAGACACAUGGAUCGCGGUGCUUGAGUGCAUUUCCCGGCUUGAGUUUAUAGUAACUAAUCCUUCAAUGGCUUCAACAGUUAUGCAAGGAUCUAACCAAAUUUCCAGAGAUGCUCUGCUUCAAUCUCUUAGAGAGUUGACUGGAAAACCUACCGAGCAAGUAUUCGUGAAUAGUGUUAAAUUGCCCAGUGAAUCAGUGGUUGAAUUUUUCAGUGGUUUGUGUAAAGUCUCAGCUGAGGAAUUAAGACAAUAUCCUGCACGUGUUUUCAGCUUGCAAAAACUUGUUGAGAUCAGCUAUUACAACAUGGCCCGCAUUCGAAUGGUUUGGGCAAGAAUAUGGUCUGUUCUGGCUACUCAUUUUAUUUUUGCUGGGAGCCAUCCUGAAGAGAAAGUUGCUAUGUAUGCCAUAGAUUCUCUUCGGCAACUUGGUAUGAAGUAUUUGGAGCGUGCUGAACUUGCCAAUUUUACCUUCCAGAAUGAUAUCUUAAAACCAUUUGUCGUUCUUAUGCGAAGCAGUCGAAGUGAAACUAUAAGGAGACUUAUUGUGGAUUGCAUUGUGCAAAUGAUAAAGUCGAAGGUGGGAAGUAUUAAGUCUGGCUGGCGAAGUGUGUUCAUGAUAUUCACAGCUGCCGCAGAUGAUGAACUAGAGUCGAUUGUUGAGAGUGCUUUUGAGAAUGUUGAGCAGGUUAUAUUGGAGCACUUUGAUCAAGUAGUUGGAGAUUGCUUCAUGGACUGUGUCAAUUGCUUAAUCAGAUUUGCUAAUAACAAGACCUCCCACAGAAUCAGCUUGAAGGCAAUUGCACUACUCCGUAUAUGCGAGGAUCGUCUUGCAGAGGGUCUUAUACCUGGUGGUGCUCUGAAGCCAGUUGACACUACUGAAGAUGAGACGUGUGACGUCACAGAGCAUUUUUGGUUCCCAAUGCUGGCCGGUCUCUCUGAUCUGACCUCUGAUCCUAGACCAGAGGUUAGAAACUGUGCACUUGAGGUUCUGUUCGAUUUGCUGAACGAACGAGGUGGCAAAUUUUCAUCCACAUUUUGGGAGAACAUUUUUCACCGCGUUCUAUUUCCGAUUUUUGAUCAUGUCAGACAUGCUGGAAAAGAGAACCUGAGCUCUACUGAUGAAUGGCCACGUGAAAGUAGCAUUCAUUCACUCCAAUUGCUGUGCAACCUGUUCAACACUUUUUACAAGAAUGUGUGUUUCAUGCUACCCCCACUGCUGGGUUUGCUUUUAGAUUGUGCCCAAAAAUCUGAUCAGUCUGUAGUUGCAAUCUCUCUCGGUGCGUUGGUGCAUCUUAUUGAAGUUGGUGGACACCAAUUUAGUUACAAUGAUUGGGAUACCUUGCUGGAAAGCAUAAGAAAUGCUUCAUAUGCAACCCAACCCCUUGAGCUUCUGAAUGAUUUGGGUUUUGAGAACUCAAAGCAUCAAACCGCACUGCAUAAUGUUACUGAAAAUGGAAAUGAUGGUGGCCAUUCAUCAGACGUGCUGGAGGAUACUCAUGGAUCAGAGCGUCCUGCUGAUUUGGAGGAAACUGGAGGUAUGCCCUCACCAUCUGGGAGAUCUGAGAAACCUACUGUUCCAGAAGGUCUUGACCGUAGUCAAACAAUAGGUCAGAAAAUUAUGGGAAAUAUGAUGGACAACCGCUUCAUCAGAAGUUUCACCUCUAAACCAAAGAUUCAGGCUUCUGAUAUUUUACCAACUUCACCGUCAAAGCUAUUAGCUGAUGAUGCGGAGCCUGAAGCAAAAGACGAGGAUGAAAGUUCAAUGUUGGCUACUAUUAGGAGCAAAUGCAUCACACAGUUGUUACUUCUCAGUGCAAUUGAUAGCAUUCAGAAGAAAUACUGGAACAAGUUAAAACCAACACACAAGAUAACUAUAAUGGACAUCUUGUUCUCUGUGUUAGAGUUUGCUGCAUCAUAUAAUUCGUAUUCCAAUCUGAGAUUGCGGAUGCGCCAAAUACCUGCUGAAAGGCCACCAUUUAAUCUUCUCCGCCAGGAAUUAGCAGGAACUUCCAUCUAUCUUGAUAUCUUACAGAAGACGACAGCUGGGAUCAAUUCUGUAAGGGAAGAAUCAACUGAAACUACCGUUGCUCAGAGUGGAAAUAGUUUCAUAAAUAAUGAUGCAACUUCUAGUGAUAAGUUUCAAGAGCAGGGAUCAAUUAAAGAAGAUAAGUUUCAACAAAUUGCAGAAGAGAAACUGGUGACAUUUUGUGGACAGGUUCUGAGGGAGGCAUCUGAGUUCCAGUCCUGCACGACAGAGAGUGCUAAUAUGGAUGUUCAUCAAGUUCUGGAAUUGCGUUCUCCAAUCAUUGUUAAGGUGCUGAGGGGUAUGUGCUCUAUGAACAGCCAAAUAUUCAGGAGUCAUCUUAGAGAGUUCUAUCCUUUGAUUACUAAACUUGUGUGUUGUGACCAGAUGGAUGUACGUGGAUCCCUUGCAGAUCUUUUUAAUAUGCAGUUGAAUCCGCUGUUGGCUUAAGAUGUGUUGAGAGUCAAGUGAGGCAUGAUUUUCUAUAAAAAAGCUCAGGAGGCUGAAUCGAUAAUUGACGUACUAGUCCUCUCUACUGUUUUCCUCAGCAUAUCGAUAUUUUAAUAGUUUCUUCAGGUUAGAUUUGAAGGCUUGUAGAACAAACUCCCUCCUCUUGCAUUAGAUGGAGAGAUAAGAUUCACACAUAUGUAUGUAUACCGUUAUGAUAGUGACAAUUUUGUUGAAGUUGCAGAAAAUAACUGCCUUGAUUGUGCAAAUUAGGCAUCGAUUUUAUCAGUCUUUGUUCCUAAUUUUUUCUGAAACAGUUGCAGGCUUAUGUAUGUUAGAGGCCUAAACAUAAGUAUAGAGUGAUAUUCCGCUACUGAGAGUCAUUGUAAUGUACUAUUUGAGUUAGUUUACUAAGAUAAACGAAGGUCUUG